GCCUUUCUACAAUAAAUGCCUUCAGACAAUGGACCAUCUCUGCUCAUCGAGAUCCGCCAUGCUGGAGCAAUGGACCAGGCUUCCCUCUAAUGAGCAGAGCAUCAAACCUCCCGCCUGGAGGCCUUCCUGUGCUCCAGCCACAGCUGCCACCAAUCCAAGCUGCCUGCCUGAACUAGCCAGACUCUCAUCACUGUGGGGUUGGCCUCAUACAAGACUCAGGAAAAUGCAAAGCAAAAUCACCAUGAGAUCUCAUCUUUUAUUUGCUGAAGUGGCUAAGUAUCAAAGACAGAGACAAAUCAACUAAGAGGCCUGCUCUGGCCUAUGAGGGUAUUUCUUGGGGGGAUCAACUGAAGGGAAAAGAACAUCUCCCCCAACCCCUGGUGUGUGGCACCUGAAGUAAAGCUGUUGCUUCUGCCUGACUGCCUUCAAUGCCUGCUGGUGAGGACAGCUACUCCGAGGCUGCCAUCCUUCACUUUAGAACCCAGAUUCUUCAGCCUUCCCCCAGAGACUGAAGACCUACUGUUCUCUGGGAAUCCCCAGGCCAGAAUGACUUGGGUAACCAGUCUCAAGGACCCAGAAGCUAAUGAGAUCCCAGGCUCUCCAGCAGGACGGUGGCCAUUACAGGGCUAACCUGGACUAUCGACCAAGGUGGAGAUUUCUUGACUGAGGUUGAAAGACCCCAAAAUGAAAAGAUCUCAGUCAACCAGUCACUUCAA